AGGGACGAAAGCUAGGGUAGCGAAAGGGAUUAGAUACCCCUGUAGUUCCUAGCCGUAAACGAUGGAUACUAGGCGUAGCUCGUAUCGACCCGAGCUGUGCCGAAGCUAACGCGUUAAGUAUCCCGCCUGGGGAGUACGCACGCAAGUGUGAAACUCAAAGGAAUUGACGGGGGCCCGCACAAGCGGUGGAGUAUGUGGUUUAAUUCGAUGCAACGCGAAGAACCUUACCAAGACUUGACAUCCGACGAAUCUGCCUGAAAGGGUGGAGUGCCUUAGGGAGCGUCGUGACAGGUGGUGCAUGGCUGUCGUCAGCUCGUGUCGUGAGAUGUUGGGUUAAGUCCCGCAACGAGCGCAACCCUCGUCCUUAGUUGCCAGCUUUAAGUAGGGAACUCUAGGGAGACUGCCGGGGACAACUCGGAGGAAGGUGGGGAUGACGUCAAGUCAGCAUGCCCCUUACGUCUUGGGCUACACACGUACUACAAUGGUCAGGACAACGGGAAGCCAAACUGCAAAGUGGAGCGAAUCCCAGCAAACCUGGCCUCAGUUCAGAUUGGGGGCUGCAACUCGCCCCCAUGAAGGCGGAAUCGCUAGUAAUCGCAGGUCAGCAUACUGCGGUGAAUCCGUUCCCGGGCCUUGUACACACCGCCCGUCACACCAUGGGAGCUGGCCACGCCCGAAGUCGUUACUCCAACCCGCAAGGGAGGAGACGCCAAGGCAGGCCUAAGGACUGGGGUGAA
rnacentral:rRNA from 1 species